AUUGAACGCUGGCGGCAGGCUUAACACAUGCAAGUCGAGCGGGGUGAUGGUGCUUGCACUAUCACUUAGCGGCGGACGGGUGAGUAAUGCUUAGGAAUCUGCCUAUUAGUGGGGGACAACAUCUCGAAAGGGAUGCUAAUACCGCAUACGUCCUACGGGAGAAAGCAGGGGAUCACUUGUGACCUUGCGCUAAUAGAUGAGCCUAAGUCGGAUUAGCUAGUUGGUGGGGUAAAGGCCUACCAAGGCGACGAUCUGUAGCGGGUCUGAGAGGAUGAUCAGCCAGACGGGGACUGAGACACGGCCCAGACUCCUACGGGAGGCAGCAGUGGGGAAUAUGGGACAAUGGGGGGAACCCUGAUCCAGCCAUGCCGCGUGUGUGAAGAAGGCCUUAUGGUUGUAAAGCACUUUAAGCGAGGAGGAGGCUCUUUUGGUUAAUACCCAAGAUGAGUGGACGUUACUCGCAGAAUAAGCACCGGCUAACUCUGUGCCAGCCGCCGCGGUAA
rnacentral:rRNA from 1 species